GCAAACGUUGUUCGGAAUUACUGGGCGUAAAGAGCGUGGAGGUGGCUAAGUAAGUCGGGCGUGAAAUCCCACGGCUCAACCGUGGAAGUGCACUCGAAACUGCAUAGCUAGAGUCCUGGAGAGGUAGGUGGAAUGCUUGGUGUAGAGGUGAAAUGCGCAGAUAUCGGGAGGAACACCUAUGGCGAAGGCAGCUCGCUGGGACGUUACUGACGCUGAGACGCGAAAGCGUGGGGAGCAAACAGG
rnacentral:rRNA from 1 species